AGCAGCCGCGGUAAUUCCAGCUCCAAUAGCGUAUAUUAAAGUUGUUGCAGUUAAAAAGCUCGUAGUUGAAUAUCUGGCCGGUGCUGUUCUUGGCUCACUGAGCCGGUGCAGUGCCUGGUCAUCCGUACGGGAAGCUAGUUCGGCCUUCACUGGUCGGCUAGUGGAUCGUACACUUUACUUUGAAAAAAUUAGAGUGUUUCAGGCAGGCAAUUGCUUGGAUACUGUAGCAUGGAAUAAUGGAAUAGGACUUUGACUUAUUUGUUGGUUUCUUCGAGGUCAAAGUA
rnacentral:rRNA from 1 species